CGGCGGGGGAUUCAACGGUUGGUCCAAUACGGACAAUCAAAAUCAAUCAACGGCCAGAUUGGAGAUUGGAGAUUGGAGAAUGUGAAUAAUUAAAGGAAAUAAAAUCUAAGACGUGCAAAGUUGUUCCUCGUGGAUCAGAGAUACCCCAUGCUACAGAUGUUGUACUCAUGAUCAGACAGUACUGUAUACAUCUGCAGACUUCAGUAGAUCACAAGUGCUAACCUUACCUUUUCUAUAUUUUAUCAAACUAACUCCCUGGAUAAAGUCAAACACUACAUUAUUCCCCACAAGGGAAUCCAAGAUCUCUGUACAAUAAAUUAAUUAUUAUGGUUUUCACA